ACGAACGCUGGCGGCGUGCCUAAUACAUGCAAGUCGAACGGUCUUUCUAUGGAAGCUUGCUUCCACUGAGAAGAUAGUGGCGAACGGGUGAGUAACAACGUGGGGUAACCUGCCCAUAAGAGGGGGGAUAACAUCCGGAAACGGGUGCUAAUACCGCAUAGUUUUCUUGAUCGCAUGAUCGGGAAAGGAAAGACGGCCUUUGUGCUGUCGCUUAUGGAUGGACCCGCGGCGUAUUAGUUAGUUGGUGAGGUAACGGCUCACCAAGACGAUGAUACGUAGCCGACCUGAGAGGGUGAUCGGCCACAUUGGGACUGAGACACGGCCCAAACUCCUACGGGAGGCAGCAGUAGGGAAUCUUCCGCAAUGGACGAAAAUCUGACGGAGCAACGCCGCGUGAGUGAAGAAAAGGUUUUCGGACCGUAAAACUCUGUUGUCAGAGAAGAACAAGUUGGAGAGUAACUGCUCCAGCCUUGACGGUAUCUGACCAGAAAGCCACGGCUAACUACGUGCCAGCAGCCGC
rnacentral:rRNA from 1 species